GUUUUGCAAGGUGCUUCGGCCUUGCCUUGCCUUGCUUGAGAGCCUUUUGAAAACAUUGNNNNNNNNNNNNNNNNNNNNUUGCCUUGCCUUGCCUUGCCUUGCUUGAGAGCCUUUUGAAAACAUUGCAUGGUAGUUACAAAUUUUGUUAUUCCUUUGUACAUCACACACACACACACACACACACACGUUGUGAAUGUAGUUGAGUUUUUGCGUUGUAUUCUGGUGGUUCAGAAAAGUGCUUGGCUUUGGGUUGCUGCAUAAGUACAAUGAUUAAUGGUUUCACCAGUAUCAGGUAUGUCAAGGAAAUACUUGCAAAUUAACCCAAUGUUUGGCCCAUCGUGACCGAGAUCAGGCCUAGGUUUAUGUAACGUCACUAAACACCAAAAUAGUUUUCCAGAUAUUUCAGAAGUGGAUUUUGCACAUGAUUUAUGACUCCUAAAAGUUAAAACAACAAGCCAGGGUCUUCUGAAGUAGAAGAAAAGGUAGAGUGGCUGUAUAAGGUGGUCAUCCUUUUUAGGUGGAAACAAAAGUGAAUUAGGAGAGAAGCAAUGAUUUAAAAAGUGCUAGGC
rnacentral:lncRNA from 1 species